rnacentral:rRNA from 1 species
AACGAACGCUGGCGGCAGGCUUAACACAUGCAAGUCGAACGCACCUUUCGGGGUUAGUUGCAGACGGGUGAGUAACGCGUGGGAAUCUACCCUUCUCUACGGUAUAGCUCCGGGAAACUGGAAUUAAUACCGUAUACGUCCUGAGGGAGAAAGAUUUGUCGGGGAAGGAUGAGCCCGCGUUGGAUUAGCUAGUUGGUGGGGUAAAGGCCUACCAAGGCGACGAUCCAUAGCUGGUCGAAGAGGAUGAUCAGCCACAUUGGGACUGAGACACGGCCCAAACUGCUACGGGGCGGAGCAGUGGGGAGUAUUGGAGGAGGGGCGCAAGUCUGACCCAGCCAUGCCGCGUGAGUGAGGAAGGCCCUAGGAUUGUAAAGCUCUUUCAGUGGGGACGAUAAUGACGGUACCCGCAGAAGAAGCCCCGGCUAACUUCGUG